ACCUACUGUUUAAUUUUGAGGGUUCGUUUUUGCGAAUACUCAAAGUUAGCACUUUGAAAACUGCAUAUAUAUUUAGUGAUAUGACAUCUAAUUUGUAAUAUAUAAAGCUGAUAACUUUUUAAAAUUAUCGAAGUUGAUAGCUUCUAAUCUAUCAAACCUUUUUAACCGGUCAA
rnacentral:misc_RNA from 1 species